rfam:Triticum aestivum genome assembly, contig: Triticum_aestivum_CS42_TGACv1_scaffold_527212_6DL
UGGUUACUCCCUCCGUUCCAAAUUACUCGUCGCAGAAAUGGAUGUAUCUAGAACUAAAAUACAUCUAGAUACAUCCAUACCUCUGACAAGUAAUUCGGAACGGAGGGAGUAGAAG